AGGGCACUCCUACGGGGGGCAGCAGUGGGGAAUAUUGCACAAUGGGCGCAAGCCUGAUGCAGCCAUGCCGCGUGUAUGAAGAAGGCCUUCGGGUUGUAAAGUACUUUCAGCAGUGAGGAAGGUGGGUAUGUUAAUAGCAUACUCAUUUGACGUUAGCUGCAGAAGAAGCACCGGCUAACUCCGUGCCAGCAGCCGCGGUAAUACGGAGGGUGCGAGCGUUAAUCGGAAUUACUGGGCGUAAAGCGCAUGCAGGUGGUUUGUUAAGUCAGAUGUGAAAGCCCGGGGCUCAACCUCGGAAUUGCAUUUGAAACUGGCAAACUAGAGUACUGUAGAGGGGGUAGAAUUUCAGGUGUAGCGGUGAAAUGCGUAGAGAUCUGAAGGAAUACCGGUGGCGAAGGCGGCCCCCUGGACAGAUACUGACACUCAGAUGCGAAAGCGUGGGGAGCAAACAGGAUUAGAUACCCUGGUAG
rnacentral:rRNA from 1 species